rnacentral:lncRNA from 10 species
GGCAGACAUGCAAAGGUAGUGUUGGCAUUGACCAAGGAAUGCUGGCCUCUGGGCCUCUGAGUCCCCCCCAGCUCAGAUGAUUUUUCUGUUCCACAGAGGCUGUAAGAGCUAAGCAGUGAAUUGCGUGGAAGGUGGCAGAGCUGACCGACUGUACACAGCAAUGGGAAACAUUUCUAUCCUGCUCCGUCUCUGCGUUUGCAGGGGCUGCUGACGAUCGUUGCCUCCUCUAACUACUCCGAAAAAAUACAAAAAUGCAGGUGGUCACUUGGGGCUGCGUCAGCAAAGAGAAUGCUCUUCUGGGGUCAUCUAACCUUGAAAAUAAUAGCCCCUGGAGAGCAAUUUCCAGAUGAAUCGCUCUGAAUUUCUUUUAUUCCCUAGACAGCUUGCCUUCUACAACGUGGUACUAUGAACAGCAAAGAACAUGACUGCCCUCUGACCUGUUGGCAUGUUGAGAGGCAAGAUUUCUCAUGAUCCAGGCUCUAUGGAGGAUGGGAGGAAUCCCAUUUUCAUGCUUAGUUUUACAGCUGAGCUGAGGUCUCUCCCGGGAAAACCAACAAACAUGGUCUAUUUUGUUAUUUUAAAACAGUUUUCCACAGUUAGAGUGCUGGUUUUAUCUGUGGAGGCUCAACACAACUUUAUGACUCUUACACUGGACAACAUUUUGCUACAGAUAAGAUAUAGUUUUGAGAUAGGAUGAUGGCAGGUAGGACCCUUUAGUAUUUGUUUUGUUAAAUAAUGACUUGAGCUCAAUUUGUGAAUUGAACUUAGGUCCUUUCUUUUCUUCUUCUUUUUUUUUUAAACCAUGUUUGUGGUUGCAGCUAUCGUUGUUAUUUUCAUGAUCAUUUCUGCCACUGACUUCCUCUCUGACAGGAGUUAUAUCAAUUUGUUUCUAUUUUACUUUGUUGUACCUUGGUCUCUCCAGAGGAAAAUGGGAACUUGAGAGUAUUUAUGAAGAAAAUGCCUGUCAAAUUGGGAAUACUCUCGGAGUGGAAAAUGGAGGCAUUAUGAAAUAACUUUAUUUUCCUCUGUGAUCAACGUGUAGUGAACGCUCAAUGAGAUAUGACUAGAAUUUAAGAAUGAAGACUCCACUAGAGCAAGGGUCUCUCCUAUCUUCUUAUCUAUCGUAUCUCUGGCACUGGGACAGGAACUGAUAGUGAAGGUGCUCAGUGUUUGUUGAAUGCAUAAAUGACCAAUGGAAAGAAGGAAGAAAAAAGAAGGAAGGAAGGAAGGAAUGAAGGAAGAAAGGAAGGACCAGAGAGAGGAACAAGACCCUCUGCUGAGCCAGCAGGAAAAGACCCGAGAUCACAAUGACGUGAUUUAUAUUGAUCCCUAGUUAGUCAUCAGGAAUGUCUGAGUGAAGAAUGGAAAACAAAGGGAUGCUUGAGUUUACAAUGCCCGAGUGUCCCUCGUGGAGGGAGUGCUGCCUCUGGAUCCAGGAUCAGCAGCUGUGGAAACAUCUCCCUUUUGCAGAGGGUACAAAUCAGCUCACAGCCUGCAGAACAGAAACUGACAGCGCGUCAGAGACCUGCAUGACAGUCCUGGCUUCCACUCUGGCCUCUCAGUUUCCUCAUAUGUUCAGUGAGUUCAUCAUCCUUCUCACACAAUAAAGAUGAAGACCAACACCACCUGACAUUCGUUGAGUAUUUACUAGGGGCCAGGUGUUCUACUAAGUGUUUCCAAUUCAUAUUCUCAUUGAACCUCCACAACUACUCGAUGAAGAAGGCAUAAUCUCUGUCCCCAUUUUAUAGAUGAAGAAAGUGAAGUCUAGACAUAACUUACCUGCCCAAUGUCACACAGCUGGGAGUUUGCCAAAUUAAGAUCCAAAUCAUGAUUUUUUUUAAAUUCGUUGCAAUAAUC